GACGAACGCUGGCGGCGUGCCUAAUACAUGCAAGUUGAGCGAUGAAGAUUGGUGCUUGCACCAAUUUGAAGAGCAGCGAACGGGUGAGUAACGCGUGGGGAAUCUGCCUUUGAGCUGGUGACAACAUUUGGAAACGAAUGCUAAUACCGCAUAACAACUUUAAACAUAAGUUUUAAGUUUGAAAGAUGCAAUUGCAUCACUCAAAGAUGAUCCCGCGUUGUAUUAGCUAGUUGGUGAGGUAAAGGCACACCAAGGCGAUGAUACAUAGACGACCUGAAAGGGGUAUCGGCCACAUAGGGACGGAAAAACGGCCCAAACUCCUACAGGAAGCAGCAGUAGGGAAUCAUCGGGAAUGGAGAAAAGUGUGACCAGGCAACGCCGCGUGAGUGAAGAAGGUAAUCGGAUCGUGAAAAUCGGUUGAAAGAGAAGAACCAUAGGGAGAGGGGAAAGCACAUCAAGUGGCGGAAAAUUCCCAGAAAGGCGCGGAGAACUAAGAG
rnacentral:rRNA from 1 species